UUUGUAUUGUGAUCUGUUUUAGCUUACUAAUCAUUCAUUUGACACAAGUAAGAUAGUUAAAAUUAAAAGAAACCAAUUCACCCCCUCCCCCCCCCUCUUGGCUUGUCACCUUGGGCAACAAGUGGUAUCAGAGCAAGGUGCUCCAAUAGUACUCAUUAAUCUCAUAAUCAAGAGUUAAAGAUCAUGACAACCCAAGUGGGAUGUUCUAUGAGUGAGGGGCAAUCUACAAAUAGACCACCUCUAUUUAAUGGCACAAACUACACAUAUUGGAAAGCUAGGAUGAGGAUAUUCAUUCAACCUUCAGAUUAUGAAUUAUGGUACAUCAUUACUAGAGGACCUCACACACCCACACUUAAUAUAGAGGGCACUAUCAUA
rnacentral:lncRNA from 1 species